CAUAUACUUAGGUAUUUUAUUCGGUUUAUAUAUUUUAUGGUUAUAAAUACAAUUAAAGAACUAUAAAAAGUCUAAAAAUUUAAAAAUUAUUAAUCACUAUCAUUACAAUGCAUGUUUUACUUUUAGGCGUCAUAAGUCUCGAAGCUAGUCCAACUAGGCAAUGUUUCCAAGGAAAAACAAGCCUUGUGCAGCUCUGACAAUGGCAACGGACUAGGGUAUUAUUGUCUCCGAACGUUUUUGUUUACAGUUUCUUAUAUGCAGUGGGAAGAUUAUUGUCUCUAAAAGAUUACAAUAUUUCGUAUUUGUCUCUGAUUUUAUCAACAUGCAGGCGCUCAGAGACAAUGGAGACAACAGAUAACUAAACAUGGAACUAACUAAAAUAAUUACUAAAUAACUAAACAUGGAACUAACUAAAAUAAUAAGUAAGUAACUAAACAUGGUAAUAACUAAACAUGGAACUUCAGAUUUGAUGUUAUACCUGAAAUUCAAAUUGUCCAAUGAAAAAACAUCAUUUGUACCACAUGACAAAUCGAUUUUUUAUGGUAUUUCACUCAAAUUCAUGAUUUCGCAAUCCAGCAUGAGAUACUAUAAUAUCCCACGGAUGAUCCACCGUGGGAUAUUAUAGUAUCCCACGCUCACGCGUAACGCGUGGGCAACACGCUCUGAAACAAUAUGGCGUUCGCGAGCUAGUGUU